AUACUUGUGUACUGAAAAUACAUUGCCCACUAUGGGUACAGCAUCAAAAGAAGUCCCUCUAAAGAUUGAAUAACUGAGGCUUGAUAGAGUUACAUCACUUGUCCAAAGAGAUAAUGCCAGUGAAUGGAAUAGCCAGAUCGAAUUCCAGAAUCCGUAAAGCUCCACUGCUUCUCUCUGAAGCUCUCAGAGCAGAAAGCUACUUACUG
rnacentral:lncRNA from 10 species